GAGAGACUGAUGUCAAGAGAUGCUUUUCACCAAUGGCAAAGAAAACCAUAUAAUAUUCGGCCUCUCACAUGACUGGCCAGUGACGGAACCUUUCCACAAACAGCCUGGUACAUUUCUGAAGGAGCUGGAAGCGCUGGGAGAUAACUGAGUACCUAUUCUAGGCUGCCGAAUCCACUCCUUCGUGGUUCUCAAGCCUGUGAAUACGCCACAGAAUCACCUGGAGCACUUAUUCUUUUCAUGACGGAAGGCUAUUUCACAAGCAUGGUCUUUCUUGCUCAAAACUAUCCAGUGGGUUGGGUAUGAGAGAAAGCAAUGCCCUAAUCACGUGAUGAAGCAUCAGUCACAGCAGUGUCUGUAGGUACCAGUCAGGCCACCAACAAUGUGUGGACUCAAACUCCGGGCUUGACUCCUAACUCCAUGGCCUUUCUAUCCUGAAGUGAAAAAUAAUCUAUUUUUAAGAUCACAGAAUGCCAAAUAAACCAUGAGGUCUAAAGUCUUUCUUUCCUCCAUUUGUCUGAUGAAAGAAGUUGGACUAACUUUCUCAACACCCAUUUUAUUUUCUCCCACUUCCACGAGAUGCUUCUGGGAAAAUAAAAAGGUUCCAUAGUGAAUAAGUUUUGGAUGACUGUAUUUGGCAAAUGUCUUCUUGGCAAUUCACAAUGCAAAUUAGCAAAAGGAAGUUUCUUAGAUGUCCGGCAGUUUCUUUUAAAGUUUUAUUUAAACCUAUUUACCCAAAUUGUA
rnacentral:lncRNA from 10 species